rnacentral:autocatalytically_spliced_intron from 1 species
CGAUCCGCGAGGAGCGGUCUGGAGGAAGCCGCUAGCAAAACUGCGAGCUGAUGAACAAGAACAUCAUACGAGGCGUAGGCUGAAGGCGAGUUGGCACAAGACAACGAAGCCAGCCUUUAGUAAAGAUCUACUCGAGCAGAUGCUCAGCAAGGCCAAUCUA